UACGUAGGGACCGAGCGUUGUCCGGAAUCAUUGGGCGUAAAGAGCGUGUAGGCGGCCUUUUAAGUCCUGCGUGAAAUCCUGCGGCUCAACCGCAGACGGUCGUGGGAAACUGGAAGGCUAGAGUGCGGGAGAGGAGAGUGGAAUUCCUGGUGUAGCGGUGAAAUGCGUAGAGACCAGGAGGAACACCCGUGGCGAAGGCGGCACGCUGGGCCGACCCUGACGCUGAGGCGCGAAAGCGUGGGGAGCGAACAGG
rnacentral:rRNA from 1 species